GGAAUGAGCAUUUUAACUGGAAUGUACAAGAAAAUGAGUUAUAAUCGUGUGUGUGUACCUGGUAAAAAAAGAUUGUUAAUUCUUAUGAACUUUAGUUUCAGUCUCAGGGUGCAGCUCCCAAUAUGUUUGUUGUCUGUAAUUGUUAUUUUAAUGCAAUAAUUCAUUUGUUUUGUAUGAUCCUUUUUUUGGUUUUUUUCCUCUCCAGACUUCACUUCUUAUUGAUCAGACAGAUUCAUUCAAGCAUUUGCCACAUGAUCAUGGAGCUCUCCAUUCAGGUCACAUGGUACUGGUGAAUUGUGUGUGAGAGUGUGUGAGAGUGUGUGAGAGUGUGUGAGAGUGUGUGAGAGUGUGUGAGAGUGUGUGAGAGUGGCUUUAGUAAAUUAAAGCUACAACACAAAUAUACUUUACCAGCAGGGGAUGUACUUUUAGAGUGAGUGUAUGAGAAAUGGACUGAUUUCUCUCAGGAUUUUUUAAAUGAUCACUUGUAGAAUUCUCUGGUGCUUUUAAAAUUUUUAUUUUAUUAUUAUUUUUUUUUUUAAUGUUUCUGUUCAAAAAAUAUUCUAACUUGUAUACAGGCUAUAUAACGUGCUGUAACUUUCUCCACUGUAAAUACAGCUGCAUUUUUAAGAUAUGAUCAACUGUGUCAUUGUCUGAUUUUAUUCAAUUUACUCAUUUACUAUCCGAUCUCAAGAUUCAACCAGUUUUAAAUACAUCGGACUGAAAAUGAUUCAAAUAUGGUUCAACGAACCGGACAAAGUUUGGUAGGUUUUUCACAUUGGCUGCUUUUAAAUACAUUUCCAAGAUCGUUUGGUAAUCAAAGUUUAUGCAGUUUGUGUUGGCAGCGUUGGAAUAGGAAAACUUGGUAUAAUUAACGUUGGUAGACAGGAUGUACUUCAUUCGGUAUACAGACGAGAGGAAACUUGUCUGAGUAGCUAAUACUUAUAAGAAAAAGAAUUGGAUAAAGAACAAAUAUAUUUUGGGUCAAAGUUUCUGAAGGACUGGCAUAAUGCAAUGGAACAUUUUAAUACCUAUAAUUAUAAGAUUGUCAUUGUCAUUGACUUCAUAUAGCAUAAUUAAGCACAACAAUGUGUGUCGUUUUGCCUAGGAGAGGCAGCAGGGUGUGGAGUGUCUAUUAUGAUGUCUGGAUGGAUUCAU
ensembl:lncRNA